ACCCCUUGCCUUUAUCUCUGGAUGAUGCUAACGCCGUUGCUCCAAACUCCAUCGACUCCCCUACCGCUGACGAUGAAAUCAUACCUGAGUCAAAAGAGCGGUUGCCCCUUGCCCUAGAAGGUGCCUACGACCUCGAGCUCAUCUUUCUGUCCGGAAAGCAACAGCAUGUCUCCUUUCCUCUAAAAAACAAAAAGCUUUGCUUGCGGCCGAGUCAGGA
rnacentral:lncRNA from 1 species